rnacentral:rRNA from 1 species
UACGUAGGGUGCAAGCGUUGUUCGGAAUCAUUGGGCGUAAAGCGCGUGUAGGCGGUCAGAUAAGUCGAGUGUGAAAUCCCUGGGCUCAACCGAGGAAGUGCAUUUGAAACUAUCUGGCUGGAAGGUGGUAGAGGAAGGUGGAAUUCCUAGUGUAGAGGUGAAAUUCGUAGAUAUUAGGAGGAAUACCGGCGGCGAAGGCGGCCUUCUGGACCACUCUUGACGCUGAGACGCGAAAGCGUGGGUAGCAAACAGG